rnacentral:lncRNA from 1 species
AGGAGCACCAGCGGCGUCUUGCGGUGGAAGGUUAGCUUGCCGGCCUCCUCCAUGCUCAUUUCCUCCGCCGCCGUCCCCUCCGGCAGCGUCCAGUCGAAGCCGCACAGCAUGUUGGCCAGCGUGAACUCCACGGUCGUCACCCCCAUGGCCAGCCCGGGGCAGACCCGCCGGCCCGAGCCGAACGGCACCAGUUCGAAGUGCGCGCCGCGCAAGUCCACCUUGCCGUGCCUCCCGUCCGUCUCGAACCUCUCCGGCUUGAACUCGUCCGCGUCUUGCCCCCAGCUUGCCGGGUCCCUUCCGAUGGCCCACACGUUCACCAGCACGCGCGUCCUCGCCGGCACGUCGUAGCCGCCGAUCUCCACCUGCCGCAGCGUCUCCCGUGGCAGCAGCAGAGUCGCCGGCGGGUGCAGCCGCAUGGUCUCUUUGAGGACCAUCUUCAGGUAGGUUAGCUUGGGCAGGUCGUCUGGCUGGACUGGCAACCCCGGCGGCGAGACAUCGCUGGCGGCCACCGCGGCCCUGAUCUCAUCUUGUGCCUUCUUCAGCGCCGUCGGGUUCGAAAACAUAUAAUAGAACAUGUGCUCCCCGGCCCUCUUAUCCUGUACGUUCAUAUACAUCGGGAUAUACGCCAGCCGUUUCCGUAAGAUUCUCAGUCCACGGUUAUGUCGCUCGAGUUAUCAGUUCUACCAGGCCCUGAUCCGCCUACUGCCUACCUUAGGCUACUGUGUACAGGGAGAUAAGGACAGACACUAUCGGACACUCCAGGAGGCGGCCCGUGACUCUGGUCCAUCUGCGAUGUGUGAAUACCUCUUCUUCCAUCCAGGCACCACAAUGUGGCUCUCAGAUUCAGGGGCAGGGAUAUUUGGACUCUGGGCGGAGCCGCAAGCAAGCGUGAUCGCAAUCCCCCCAGUCGCCGGAUGCAUGAUCGAUCCAGGAUGGGUCCUAAACGUCCAAGUUGGAGAUCAGGAUCUAUAACAAGGAAAUCCCCACACAAAUACUGUUGACCCAUCUUUCUCAAUCAGAAAUCAUACCUGGGGACCGUCGAGCGUCAGAUCUGCCUCUGGCACCGCCCGUCCUGGAGGACGCUCGUCCAUGACGAGAUCGGAAGACCGGCGGUCAUGAUGGAUCUGUACCUCGGCAAAAAGGUCAAGGGACAGCGGAUUCAGUACACUUCUGGCUAGAAAAACAGCGGCCUGUAGAGCAAGAUAAACUAUUUGAUGCGUACCCAUUGUCGUCCGGCAGUGCGGCAUCGAUGGAGCUGUGCUCCGUCGCCAUGGGAGCGCCGCCUCGGCCUUCCUCCAUUGAAAGCGUAGAAUGAGAGUGAAACAGUAUGCGUUGGAGCCUUGUUGGUCAGAGUCACGGGUACGCGUCAGUAUGUUGGGGGGAGGGGGGCGGUGGAAGACAAAUUUCCGCAGAGCCUACGAUGGAACGGUACUCCUACGACGCCAACGACCGUAACAGAUGUCUGCCGCGGUAACAGAUACACUAAAGCUGGUGUUUGUGACGGGCAUCUCGAGGUACAGCGCCAUGAUUCAACAGCUAGGAUAACGCGCCCCGGGUGCAGGUGCUCAAAAAAUCCGCAUCCGGCCCCGUCGGGUUAUGGAUCAGCUCCGACAUCGCCCACACGAUGGUGAUAGAGCUGCCGUCGACGCCGCCGAGGAACGCGUCCAGGAGCAUGGCCUUCACGUGGUCCCUCGUGAAGCCGUGCUCCUCACAGGCGCUGAUGAAGGCGUCUACCAGGUCGCCGUCGCCGCUCUCUGGCUUGGGGUGCGCGGGGUCCAGGUGCUGCUCCAGCACCGCCUCGAAGAAGGCGUCGAGGUCCCUAAAGAUUCUCUCUCGCCGCGCGAUAAUGCCGGAGAGCCGGUCGACGAGGCGGCCGGCGGCGUUGGGAAAGAAGUCUUCGGCCGAGAAGCUGGCCGACAUGGCCAUGGCCUCCUCGAGCACGUGCUGGAACUGCUCGUACUUGCGCGCGAACGCCUCCGCGGCGUAGAUGCGCCCGUACGCCACGGUGCCGAUGAUGCCGUCGGCGACGCGGAAGACGUGCUGGUCCAUCGCCACCGGAGCCGCCGUCGCUGCCGCCACGGCCGCGCCGAGGGUGGCCAUGAGCCUGUCAACCUGCUGCCGACGCGCGUCCCAUACGGCGCGGACGCCCCGCGGGCCGAAGAGCUCGGCGACGAAGAGCCUGCGCAUGUCCUGCCAGUAGGGGCCGUAGGGCGAGGAGGCGAUGCUCUUGCCGCCGUAGGAGAGCCGCGCGGGGCCCGGGGACGCGAACCGGCUGCAGCAGUCGGCGUCGUGGGCCUUCAUCACGUCUCGCGCCGCAGCGGCAGACGAGACCACCAGCGUCGGCACCGUGCCGAGGCGGAGCAGCAUGACGGGGCCGUGCCGCCGGGCUAGGUCGCGCAGGCUGCGGUGCGGCAGCGGGCCCAGCUGGUGCAGGUUGCCGAGCACCGGCACCCGCGCAGGGCCGGGCGGCAGCCUCAGCCGUCCUCCCUCAACGUCGCCCCUCGUUAUGAGCAGCAGGUAGGAGACCACGGGGAGGAGGAGGCCGGCGAGAAGGAGGAGGAGCUGCCAUUGCAGGGGCAGCUGGGCGAGCAUGUGCCACUGCGUGUGGAGCAGUGAGAUCACCAUUGUUUCGGCCGGAGGUGGAGCUAGCGAUGAGGUGCUCUGCUCGUGGACGGUAUGGGGUUUAUAAAGUGGAGUGGCAGUGGCAAUGUGCGUGGAACUUGAUGGACGUGGCAGGUGGCACAGUUGCCAAAGAGCAUGUGGCAUGCAUGCAUCAUUUUGGUGAUUAGAGUGAGAGCAAAGAGACGCAAACAAAUCAUUUUGGUGAUAGUGCCUUUCCUUAGUGGAUUUUGUCAUAGCUCCUCAGUGAUCACCGGACAGGAACGAAGCCAAACGACCAUUCGGUUCCAGUUCCAUAGAAAUUCGCCAUAUAAUGACUAAAAAGGUUUUGGCUGCAUCGUAUAUGAGUAAUACUCCAUCCGCUGCUAAAUAUAAGUCCUUUUAAAGAUUUUCAAUAUGAACUACAUACAGAUAUAUAUACAGGGCCGUCCUGAGAUUUUAGGGGCCCAGCGCGAAAUUAGAACCCGAACCCCCUUAACUUUCCAACGCCACUCUAACUUUCCAAAGGUACUUUUAGUAUAAAUUUUGUGCAACUCUAUGGUCUUGCUUGUACAACAUGCUACCAACAAAACAUGCAAUGUGAACGUUUAUUGUUUUGUAUAAAAGAAUAAUUGUUGUGCCAAUACCCUUCAAUUACUCCAUAUUUCAUUCGUUCAGAUGCAGAAAUUAAAAGCUACAAAACUUUCCUCUUUUUAAGUUAUAUGGAGAUCUGGUAAUUAUUCAUUGAUAGAGGGAAAAGCCGUAUGGCCGAGUACAAGAAAACAAGACACAAAUCAGAAAAAAAAGAAGACAGCAAGAACAAUAUGGCAUGCCGCUUUUUAUACAACCCUCGACAGCUAUACAUCAAGAGUUUUACAUGGUAUCAACAUACCUGAAUGCAGCAGUCCGGCAGAUGUAUCACUCGUACAAAGCCCUUCAAGCCGUCCACGGGCUUCCGCCAGUGGCGGAGCCAGGAAUUAAAGAUCGGGGGAGCCAAAAUGACUCAACCUUUCUAUAACAGGGGCCAAACAAUACUAAUGUAUGCAUUUUUGUUUAAACUCUACAUUAUUCAUGUACAAAUUAGCAGCAAAUCAGNNNNNNNNNNNNNNNNNNNNNNNNNNNNNNNNNNNNNNNNNNNNNNNNNNNNNNNNNNNNNNNNNNNNNNNNNNNNNNNNNNNNNNNNNNNNNNNNNNNNNNNNNNNNNNNNNNNNNNNNNNNNNNNNNNNNNNNNNNNNNNNNNNNNNNNNNNNNNNNNNNNNNNNNNNNNNNNNNNNNNNNNNNNNNNNNNNNNNNNNNNNNNNNNNNNNNNNNNNNNNNNNNNNNNNNNNNNNNNNNNNNNNNNNNNNNNNNNNNNNNNNNNNNNNNNNNNNNNNNNNNNNNNNNNNNNNNNNNNNNNNNNNNNNNNNNNNNNNNNNNNNNNNNNNNNNNNNNNNNNNNNNNNNNNNNNNNNNNNNNNNNNNNNNNNNNNNNNNNNNNNNNNNNNNNNNNNNNNNNNNNNNNNNNNNNNNNNNNNNNNNNNNNNNNNNNNNNNNNNNNNNNNNNNNNNNNNNNNNNNNNNNNNNNNNNNNNNNNNNNNNNNNNNNNNNNNNNNNNNNNNNNNNNNNNNNNNNNNNNNNNNNNNNNNUAUAUAGACGUAGUUUAGAGAGUAGAUUCACUCAUUUUGUAUCGUAUGUAGACUAUUGAAAUCCUUAAAAAAAUAUUUAGAAAUGGAGGGAGUACAAGAUACUCUGACUACCUUCCAGGUGAGUUUUAAUUUCCUACACGGGGAACGGGGAUGAUUUUUGUCGACGCCGCAAGUGAGAGUUAGUACCUCAACAGAAUUUAAAAAAGGAGUUAGUGCCUCAAGUUAGUCGGCUUCUCUCUAAUCAUCAGGGUGCUCCAUUCGAGUGUGUCGCGACAAUUGAACAGUUGGCAACAGAGUGAUAAGAUGAGCUGGUCGUAAAAGAUCGCAAAGCACCAUGCCUUGACCGUACGUGCCCGUGCCUGGGCAGUGCAGGAAUGGGGCUCACUCACCAGUCACCAAGGCUUCAGAUGAUGCAAGUGUUGGGAUGUAGGAGAUCACACCCUUGCCCAAGGGACGGGUGUUGAUCCAAGCUCAUAAGUGACUCGAAGUAGUUGUAGAGAAAGUUUCGCGAAGCUUUUGAGGUAAAUAUUUUAAUUUGUGAACACUAUUUAAUAUUUUAGAACAUUUACUAAAAUCCAGGAAAAAACAAAUUAGAGAUUUUUAAAAUUUGGAAUAUUUUUUGAAACCUGGAUCAUUUAUCAAUUUGUGAAUAGUUUUCGAAUUAAGAUUGUGUUUAGAAUUUGGAUUUUUUUUCUAAAAUUAGUGAAAAAAAAUUCAAUGUCGAUUUUAUUUUCAAAUCAUGGUAUUUCUUUUUGAAAAGCUAAAAAGAAAACUGGGCGCCCAUCCCCACACAUCAGGGAGGGGGCGUUAUAUCUCUUUCAACCGCACUUGCCGGGGAAUAGGAGCUCCCCUUUUAGAGAUUCUUGUCCCCUUUUUUUAUAGUUUUAGAACGCUCUAGAAAGUUCUGGUCCGAUUUCUUCUUCUUCUUCUUCUCCUAUUUUUGUCUUUGUUUUCUGCACGGGUUUUAUUAUCUUUUUCCAUAAAAAAUGUUCCUGAAAGCUUAAAAAAAUCACAUUUUAAAAAAUUCUUCCCAAAAUUUUAGAAAAUCUUCAGAAAUUUUGUAAAGAAAUAUAAAAAUUCUAAAAAUGGUUGGAUUUUCAAAAGUUGUCUCGUUGUCAAACAAAUAUUCAUGUUUUUUUAAAUAAGGACUUUCAAAAAUUGUCCAAGGUUUAAACAAAUCCGCAUUCAAAAGAAUUGUUCACAAACUUAAUUAAAAAUGUCUGUGUUUGUUCAAGAGAUGUUCUCAAAUUUUCAAAAGAUGUUCAUUGCCAAUUGGCCGACCUAGUCGGGGGUGCGCCUAUGCGAAGCGCCGACUCUUUGUGCAACAUGCAUCGUAUAGGAGACCCUCCCCGACCGGCUUGUAUGCUUAUUUAUACACAACAAUUUACAAAGUAAUUUGAAUACAUGCAUGGCCGAGAUGGAAUUCACAAAACAUAGAAGGGGCAUAUGCCACCAGCCAAUUGGAUGGCGAAACUGCCUCACGUACGAUCAACUGGCAUACGAUUUGUACGACAAGAGACAGGCCCGUUUCCUGAGGUCUUGGCCCACCACACCAGAUGAAUCUUGUCGUACACAGGUCCUACAAAAUUUGAUCGUACGUAUAGCAGCUCUCAUUGGAUGGUGAGAGCAUGGAGUGCAUGCAUCAGUCAUACAAUACUACUGCUAAUAUAUUAGUGGCUAAUCUUGCUCUUCGCUCUAACCACCAAAAUGAUCCAUGGGUCCCUAAACCAGGACCAACUGAUGGAACUCACAUGUGUAGUAAGAUGGAGUCCAUAAAGUCAUUGACCUGGAUUUAUUAGAACAUCGUGAAUACCCUAUUAAAGACACUUCCAAAAUUCUAGUAAGACAAUACUUAUGUGCCGCAAAAUUAAGAACGACGAUGUUAAUAUAGUUAUAGUUCCUUCCGUACGCUCAAGUUGAUUAGGUGAAGUGUGUCCACGAGCUGACAUUUGUAGGUAGGCUUAGUUGGCGCCAAAGAAGAAAUAAAUUAAACAAAAGAUCAGCAUCCCGCUUAUGAUGGUGGACAUGCAUUGACGGUUAACUGUUCUACCCAGCUCCUCAUCAUUCAGUUUGCAAAAUGGCAAUUGAGCUCAUCAACAAGCAAUCGAAACCGAAGUAAUAAAAUUAGAUUUUUAGUCAAGAAAGCUCGUUAGAUUGACAUAGGUCCACUCCUCAAUUAUCCCCGGACCAGAACCAAGCCUGACAGCCAUCCGGUUUUCAGUUCUCGAGAAAUUCGCCAUGUAGUGACUAAAAGGGGUUUUUGGUACUCCCUCCGUCUGAAAAUACUUGUCAUCAAAAUGAAUAAAAGGUGAUGCAUCUAGACGUAUUUUAGUUCUAGAUACAUCUCUUUUUAUUCAUUUUGAUGACAAAUAUUUUCAGACGGAGGGAGUAUAUGAGUAAUACAAAAUACUCUACAACCUUCAAGGUGAGUUUUCAUUUCCUGCACUAGGUAAAAAUAGCGGGAACAAUUUAUGUCGGCGCUGCAAGUGAGAGUUAAUGCCUCGAUACAGUCGGCUUCAACAAGAAUGGUCAGGGUGCUCCAUUUGUGUGUGGUGCGGCAUUUGGCAACAAAGUAGAAGUUGAGCUUGUUGUACAUAUAGUGGAGAAGCAGUGAUGUCCGCCUCAUGAUAAGAGUCGUCAACAUUUAACUUAAUCGUGCAUGCCCGUGCUCGGUGCCACCCUCAACAGCCUGGGCAAUGAAACAAGGGGCUCGCCAUGGCUUCAGAUGAUACAAGUCUCGAGUUGUAUGAGAUCAAGCCCUUGCCCCUUGAUGCCAUAAAGGGGGUUGGUGUUGAUCCAAGCUCAUAGGCGACUCGAAGUAGCUACAGAGAAAGUGUUGCGAAGCUUUGAUCGGUGAGCGAGGUUUUUCAUGGACGAUCUCAUUGUGAACGUGCUAGAUGCGCCAAUAAACAAAACCACCUGGGCCAUGUCCAGUAAGUCAAAUGUGAUAUUCAGGAGCAACCGGGUCCCAAUUUCUGAAGCCGGGAGAGGCCAGGUGACCACCACACGUCCGCCAUGGACAGACAUAGAAAUUGUACAAGGUGAAAAGUAUCGUUCAGACGACCCCCAUGAAAACUAAUUUUGGAAAGCAAUAUGUGUAUGAAGAGAAAUACAAUUUCUGUUACGUUUAAAAAGAGAGAGUUUUUUUAAAGAUACUGAAUUCAAAUUGAAGACCCCGCAAAAAAAAAACGAAUUGAAGAGAGACUACUCAAGAUAUGCAUAAGGGGCAGAGUAUACCACCGCCAGGUUGGGUGGUGAAAUUUUGUUAUUAUACCCUGCAAAAAACAAAAUAAUCAGGCAAAAAAUAAGCUGAUUUUUGCAUGUAUUUUACUCUCUUUUUUUGUAUCUCUGAUAUAUUGCACUUCUAUGUGUGCAUGUACAAAAAAUGUCAGAAGUUUUUUAGCUGUAAAAAUCCAUUUAUUUGACUUUCAAAAAAAGGGCACAAUGUGCCGGUGCUUCAAAAUUACAUUUUGUAUACCAAGUCAAUAUAUAAAGUUUGACCUAGUCUAUAUCUAGUAACCAUAGUAUGGCCUAGUGGACAGCCUGUGCGUGCAACACAAUCUGUAAAUUUGCGGGGCUAUCAUAUGUCAUUAAAUAAAAUAUUUGGGGGUUUUCUAAAAAGAUCCUCACGUCCGGGUAGGCUACGGGCACGUAGGCACGUAGGCACAGCCGGACAAGUUUAAGCAUCAAUUUCAUGUAUUUUACAACUUUAGGCACUAAACUGACCGUGCCAGACAAGUUGAGGCACUUCCAAGCGUAUUUAACUCAUAUGCAUAAGGCGCAGAUGCCACCGCCAGGUUGGGUGGUGAGAAGAUGGAGUGCAUGCAUAAGUCAUUGAAUACCGCAGCUAAUUGAUCUUAGUAGCUAGUAUCUCUUGCUCUAAUAACCACCAAAAUGAUCCAUGGGCCACUUCUCACUAACCUGGAUUUAUUAGAAUGUCGUCGAUGCUUUAUUAAAGAUAUUUUCAAAAUUCUAGUAAGACAAUAUGUUGGUGCCGAAAAGUUAAAAACGACCAUGUUUAGAUAGUUGUAGGUCCUUUCGAGCUGAAUGCCGGCCAACGUCUGUAGGUAGGUUCGAUUAGUUGGCGCCAAAUUUGAAUGUUAGGUUCUUGCCUGCCAGCUAAGUAAUUCCUAAAACCAAUCACCAAAAUUAAACGAAAGAUCAUCAUCAACUACUUAUGGAGGAAAUACAUGGAUGAUUAGCUGGUCUAGCCACCUUCUCAUCAAAGUUAAGCGAAAAUGGCAAUUGAGCCGAUAGUACGUUUUUCUAGCGGUCCGGGUUUCUACCGGGUACGCUCAGAUCACACGACCUUGAUCGGAGAUUCGUGUGCAACACAUAUAUAUCUCCCAUCAUCCACUGCAUGAUUUUCAACCAAUCGACAAAAGAAGAAGAAGAAUCAAAAUUAAACGAAAGAUCAUCAUCAAAGUUGUGCGAAGUUGAGCUCAUCAGCAAGCAAUCGAGACACACAUACAGCUGUACCGCUAUUUUGAGUCUCCAUCAAUCCAUGCAUGCAUGCAUGCAUCAACCAUUCAACCUCCACGUACAGUGCCAUUGCCACUCCACUUUAUAUAAACCCCAUACAUACGGAUCCACGGGCAGCUGCACCAACCUUCAUCGAUCGGCAAUGGCGAUCUCACUCCUCCUCACCCAGCUGCCCCAGCAGUGGCACCUCUUCCUCCUAGCCGGCCUCCUCCUCCCAGUCUUCUCCUACCUGCUGCUGAUGACGAGGCGCGGCCCUGAGGAAAGAGGGUUGAGGCUGCCGCCGCGUCCGGCGGGGGUGCCGGUGCUCGGCAACCUGCACCAGCUAGGCCCGCUGCCACACUGCAGCUUGCGCGACCUGGCCGGGCGGCACGGUCCCGUCAUGCUCGUCCGCCUCGGCGCGGCGCGAGCGGUGGUGGUUUCCUCCGCGUCGGCGGCGCGCGACGUGAUGAGGGCCCACGACGCCGACUGCUGCAGCCGACCCGCGUCGCCAGGCCCCGCGCACCUCUCCUACGGCCGGAAGAGCGUCGCCUUCUCGCCCUACGGCGCCUACUGGCGCGGCAUGCGCAGGCUCCUCGCCGCCGAGCUCGUUGGGGCGCGUGGCGUCGGCGCCGCCUGGGCCGCGCGGCGGGAGCAGGUGGACAGGCUCAUGUCUGCCCUGGGCAACGCGGCGGAACCGGUGGCGUUGGACGAGCACGUAAUCCGCGUCGCCGACGGCAUCAUCGGCACGGUGGCGUACGGGAGCGUGUACGGCGCGGAGGCGUUCGCGAGCAAGUACGAGCGGUUCCAGCACGUGCUGUUCGAGGGCAUGGCCAUGUCGGCAAGCUUCUCGGCCGAGGACUUCUUCCCCAACGCCGCCGGCCGCCUCGUCGACCGGCUCGUCGGCGUGGUCGCGCGGCGGGAGAGGAUCUUCAGAGACCUGGACGGCUUCUUCGAGGAGGUGCUGGAUCAUCACCUGGACCCCGCGCGCCGCAGGUCGGAGAGCGGCGGCGGCGGCGACCUCGUGGACGCCCUCGUCGGCCUCUGCGAGGAGCAUGGGUUCACGACGGACCACGUCAAGGCCGUGCUCGUGGACGCGUUCCUCGGCGGCAUCGACACGAGCUCCGUGACGAUCCUGUGGGCGAUGUCGGAGCUCAUGAGGAAGCCGCGCGCGCUGAAGACGGCGCAGGAGGAGAUCCGGGCCGCGGUCGCCGGCAACGGCAGCAAGGAGCUGCCGCGCGUGCAGCCGGACGACCUGCCCAAGCUGACGUACCUGAGGAUGGUCGUCAAGGAGACGCUGCGGCUGCACCCGCCGGCGACGCUGCUGCUGCCGCGGGAGACGCUGCGGCGGGUGGAGAUCGGCGGGUACGAGGUGCCGGCGGGGACGCGGGUGCUGGUGAACGCGUGGGCGAUCGGGAGGGAGGCGGCGAGCUGGGGGCCGGACGCGGAGGAGUUCGAGCCGGAGAGGUUCGAGGCGGGCGGGAGGCACGGCAAGGUGGACUUCCGCGGGGCGCACAUGGAGCUGGUGCCGUUCGGCGCCGGGCGGCGGAUCUGCCCGGGGCUGGCCAUGGGCGUGGCGAACGUGGAGUACACUCUGGCCAACAUGCUGUGCGGCUUCGAGUGGGCGGUGCCGGAGGGGGAGGAGGUGAGCAUGGAGGAGGCCGGCGCGCUGAACUUCCACCGCAAGACGCCGCUGGUGCUCCUGCCCACCCCAUACGCACCGCCGGCGUGUGAGUAAAUAUGUCUUGAGUAAAUUAGUUGAACAAAUGGAGAAAGGUUGAUUGAUAUGGAGAAUGGUAUAUGCAUCAGUCUUUUUUUUGUGUGUGUGUUGAGUUCAAGUAUAAAUUGUUGCUCCGAGUUUAUAUCUAGGGCAAAUACAUCUUGUUAAGAAAUUGAACUAGUGUGCAUAUAUUGACAUAUGUACAAUGAGGGUGAUGUUCAAUCUUAUUUACAGCAAACUAGCACAGUAUUGUGAGGGCAUCGCCU